rnacentral:pre_miRNA from 1 species
AGGGCGCCGGGGAGGAGGUGGUGGUGGUGGUGGGGGCGACGCCGGCGGAGGUGUUCGACGCGGCGGAGGUGGCGGAGGAGGACGGCGGCGGCGGCGUGGCCAAGGACAUUUCCACAGGCUUUCUUGAACGGUUCUUGCCAC